UACGGAGGGUGCAAGCGUUAUCCGGAUUCACUGGGUUUAAAGGGUGCGUAGGUGGGCAGGUAAGUCAGUGGUGAAAUCUCCGAGCUUAACUCGGAAACUGCCAUUGAUACUAUCUGUCUUGAAUUAUCUGGAGGUGAGCGGAAUAUGUCAUGUAGCGGUGAAAUGCUUAGAUAUGACAUAGAACACCAAUUGCGAAGCAGCUCACUACGGAUAUAUUGACACUGAAGGCACG
rnacentral:rRNA from 1 species